CAGAUGCAUAACUGACUGAGCCACCCGUGUGCCCCUGGGAUGGGUGAUUCUUAUGGCCAGAAAAGGUUAGGAAACACUGCUCUAUUCCAUGCUCAUCGCAAUGCGUUGCAACUGUCUCUGUUGGUGGCCAUGGUAACCAUCUGGCCUGCUGGACUGUCUCUUGAGGGCAGUACCACAUCUACGUCCAUAGCACAUAGAGCAAUGUCUGGCACGUACCUUGAAUAAAAGAGUCAAUCAACGGAGAAACCAUGCAUCAUUUGAAUGACUUCACAGUCCAGAGCGUUCUGGCUUACUCAUCAUGCUAUUACUCCCUGCCAAGGUAGCUUCACCUACAUUAUGAAAAUAAUGUGUGCAUCUGGCUAAAGAAUCCAAACAGUUCAGAAACGUGCAAAACACAAAGCAGAAAUCUCCUUUCCCCGCUCUGUCCUCGUCUCCCAUCCCGCGAGCAUCUGGAGGCAGGAGUCAUGGAAAUGAUUGGUAGUAAAGGUCAAGAUCACAUUGGGGGAGAGCUGAAAUCAAAUAACAUUAUCUGAUACUGUGGUGCGAGAACAUGGACAUCAGAGGGAGAGAAUGUUUGGGUUUGGGUUGGAGUCCUUUCCCUGUCAUGUAUCCACUCACAACCUUAGCGAGUAAAUGACUUUUCUGAGUUUCCUUUCGUGUAUCUUUAAAGGAUGUCAGUAAGA